GAAGGAGUUAGGCUGGACCACCACUGGUCCAGGUUCUCUGCUGUCUGGUUUGACCAAAUGUUUGCUGCUCAUGGGUCCGGUGGUCAGUCAGAUUUUACAGCUGAAAACCACGUAUGCCUCCAACCCAUAUUAUCUCGAAAUUUAGUAAGAUUUUAACAAAAUCUUUUACUCACUGUUUCGGGAAUUGGAUUGAUUAGAUUGAAAAUCAAUUGGAGUAUCAAUUUGGUGAAAGGAAUUGGAUCAAUUGACCCGUAAAUCAAUAUGGAUUGGUUGAACUGGUUGGGUUAAAUUUUUUUAUUUUUUAAUGAAUUUUUAAUAAUUUAUUUGAUUGAAAUGAAUUAAUUGGAUCAAUUCAAUAAAGAACUAGUAGAUUAAUCGGUUUGACUAUCGGUCCAAUUUUGAAAACUUUGGUUAUAGCUAAAUGAACUAGGAUAUAAAACAGAAAUCCACAUUCGAUUUAAGUCUAACAUUCGAUUCAGUUUUUAAAUUGAUAUGAUUUUAAUUCGAAACAUACUAUAAUUUUUAUUUUUUUCUUAAAUUUCGAUCAAUUGUACUCUUUAACUAUACAGUCUCUCAUUAUAGUUGUGGUUUGAUGGAAUGCAACAUUAAGGUACCAUCGGAUUCUGUAAAUUUCUUUUAAGCAAAAGGACAAACAAACAAAAAAACAUUGGCCACUGCUAAGAAACAUCCCGAUAGAGAAACCUAGCCGGCAAUGGCUGGACAGGUUAUAGUCAUGUGAGCUGCCUUUUUUGUUUUUAACCAGAUGCCCCAUCCAGCAGGUUAUAUACUAUUUUCAUGAGCAGCAAAACCCUCUGCUAAUGACAAAAAAAUCGAUAUCUAUUAAACAAGAUCUCCAUAUCUUAACUUCAAGUACUAUGAAUGAAAAAAGAAGAAGAAGCAAGUGUCCACAGAGAAGAGGUUUCCCUUCCGAACCUACUCGGAACUCAACCGGAGUCUUUCUCUCUCUCAUUUAUCUAGAUUUUAUUCACAAGGUCAAAGAGCCAACUUCUCCAUUUUUCUUCUUUGAGUUGGCUAUUAUAUUGGUGUUGUACUGAAUGUGAAAUAUCUCAAAAACCAGUUCAAUUCAAGACCAACAAAGAUGGUUGGCCGGUGGUCAUAGAAUGGCCCAAUACACCAAGCAUGAGGCAAAUAUUUGCCUUGAUAACCAAAUGGGAAGGAUCAUUUAAAGAUUUAACUAGCAAGGGACCAUGUUGUCUCCAAUAGCCAUGGACGGCGACUGAAAACUAGCACCUCAAAAAAGUUAGGCACAUGGAGGUGGUCCUUCACUCAAAUGACCCCUUGCUUCUCUCUGGCGCCCUUUACUUUGUAGCCAUGAUUUUGACGUGCCAGAAAUUAGUAAACAUCUACUACAUGGUUCAUAAUGACUUUACUCUGAGGCUCAUGCAAAUGACGCUCAUGUCUCCGGUUUGAAUUUCAUACACAUAUGACCUAAACUCGAAAUGGUUUGAUUUCUUGCCAGGGAAAAUGACCUCAAACGUGUGCAAAGGUCUGAAAGUGAAGAGCCGGCUUUGAUUUGCUAGUCAAAGGUGACAAAGUUACAAUAUCUUAGCUGGACACAUGAGAGGAAACUAUAAUUAUGCCGUAAACAGCCAGCAAGGAACUUUCAGCCAUGGCUACGCAUGUCUCUAUCCAUGUCCAUUUCCGACAAACUUAAGCCAACUCCUGAUUCUGGACCAGCAUUGAUGAAAACCUGAUUAUCCUGCAUAUAUUCAGACAUGAGUAUGGAGUAUGAUCCUCCAAAUACCUACAUUUCCAGAAUCCUGCAGAGCAUUACAAAUGAAAAUUGUAUCAGAUAUGAGGAAUUAGAAUUGCUGUUGGUACAAAAGAAGCAAUUAAAGAGCCACAUACAGCAGAGAAAACAGGUUUUCCAACUUUGGUGCUUCUUCGGCCGUCUCGGGUCAGCUUCUGCCAUUCUUACCGGGCUGCCGUUCCAUUCCGUUGGCAAUCUGUUUUGUAAAAAACCAAUCAAUGAGCCAUCGAUGUUUACGGGGUAACUGAGAAAAGGAAAUGGGAUCAUGAAGAGGGAAAAAGUUACAUGGGAAAAGCAAAAGAAUGAGAGCUGGCAGUGCUACUACUUGACCGCAGAGACAUGCUACCGGAACAUGGUAUUGGACUCGCUGCAAUGGAACCACAAUCACCAGAAGCCAUUUUGUUAACGAUGCUUUGACUCAGGCCUGUUAGGCUUCUCGGUAAGCCUUCGGUUUUAUGAGGCUGUUGACACUCUGAACCUUGUAAAAAUUCCUCAAGGUUGCUCAUGGUAGUCUUAUCAUGCGAGUGAACGUCUCUUCCUUCGGAAUCUUCAUCAUCAUCAUCCUUCAUUAAGUCCUCAAGAGCAUGCCUUUUCCUUGCAUAAUUCUGAAAAUCUUGUUCAAUCUCAUUGGAAAUAGAUGACAAUAUACUAAGAGAUUUUCCAGGUUCUUCACUAUCACCAUUCACAUCUGUAUUAUACUUGGAAUAGAUACCCUUAUACUUCAGUCGAUUCCGCGAAGGAACUUCCCUGUCUAUGAAAAUAUCCUUGAUUGACUGAUAAUCACUCUCUUGAAUAAAUACAACCAGCUCCGGCGCAUCAGAUGCCAAAAAGGUCUCGCUCAUAUCAUGAACUUUGUUUUCUUCCUUUCGCCUUUCUACUUCACUAGGACUUGCCGUAUACGAUGCUCCUUGUAUCGGAUUCUUCUGAGCCAUGAAAUCAUUAACUCCAUGGUUCUUGAUUCCUCCAUCA